GUGUGGUUGAGAGAGAGGCGUGUAGCAGGGAAAGAGAAGGAGAUUGGGGGUUAGGUCAAGAUGUUACGCUUUGUUGGUAGCUAAACCAUGUGCUUGUAUAUUGAGUCUGAGAUUGAGAAAGCUUCAGCCGUUUCAGCCUCUUCGCCGCGCCGUAUCGCUCAAAAUCUCUAGAAAUUGGUUUCAGAACAUGAUUGUCCCCAUUUACUGUUCUAUGGUCCAUCAGGUUCUGGCAAGAAAAGCCUAAUCAUGACUCUUCUCCGUCAAAUGUUUGGACCCGGUGCUGAAAAGGUGAAGGUGGAAAAUAGAGCAUGGAAAGUGGAUGCUGGGAGUAGAUCUAUUGAUUUAGAGCUGACAACAUUAUCAAGUGCCAAUCAUAAUUUGGUUUUCGAAACUUCCAUCCACUCUUUUUAUUUGUUCCACAAUUUAUACUUAGUUAAAAUGUUUUUUUGUUGACACAUUGAGGUGAAGAAGAGAUGAGAACAAUGAAGAAUACAAUAUGAGUUCCAUUAUUAGUUGUCAUUCUAUUUUUAUAAGUGUUUAUUUUUCUGUUUGUUUUCUAGAGCUUAAAUGUUUUUUUCUCCAGCUUCUGUUUGUCCUACUGUUUUUGUUUCAAGCCCCUAAUGAACAAGAUGAAAAAGUUAUAUGAUAAAAAAACAUGUUCACAUGAUUGGAUACAUCUAUUUGGAGUGCAACUGCUUCAUUGCUUUCUUACCAAAACCAUCAUGGAUGGAUCUUUAUAAUCAACUUUUCUGUGUUAGGAGUAAAUGCCGAUGAUGUUCGAGUCUCUGUGGCAGGAGCCCUUUUUUCUGUAGUGCCAUGGACACAGUGUGAACAAGUUAUUCAAAUAGCUUUACAGAUGUUAGAUGAAGGAUGAAGGAUGAAGGAUGAAGGAUGAAGAAAUAGAUUCACUAAUUUUAACAGAGUCAUGAUGGACAUUGGCCAGGAGAUUAUGGAGGUCCCAUGUUUCUUAUGCCUGGAUUGGUUAUUACUUUGUCUGUCACCGGGGCUUUGAAUGCAGUCUUAACCGACGAGCAUAGAAAGGAAAUGCGCCGUUACCUCUAUAAUCAUUAGAUUGUUCUCCAAAGGAAUAAACCUUCACUUGAGCAAAUAAGUAAAAGAGUGAAGUAAAUUAUAUCAAAUGGGAUCCUACUGGUUCACUACUGGCCUCGUGUUCAGACGAUAAAUAGUGUUGCGAAUACAAUGAACAAUAUUGUUGAUAUUUUGAAUUGUAUAUGUUGAUAUUUUGAAUUGUAUAUUUCAGGGUUGUAAUUAGAAUGCAAUAGAUACUCUAUAUAAACAUAUCAAAUUUAUAAUGGGUCACAUACUAGUACAUUAUAAUUGUGA